AGUGGACAGAGAGUUUGGGUAAUCGAUUACCCACUGUUAGUAAUCAAUUACUAUGAGUUGUUGCAUCAGAUUUCAGAUUUUAAAAUGAAAUGUUCUCACUCCAAACGAAAUUUCUUCACUUGAAACAACUCCUACACUUUCAGAAAGACACCAUGGGUGUUUGGAAAGUCUAUAUAAAGGCUCUAACUCUCACAACACAAACACACAACAACACACAACUCUUAUACAAUUUCCAAAAGCUCUUAAACUUAUUAUGAAGUUAUUUCUCUACACUUUUUGCAACUAGUCCUUAACUUUCAAAGUUGUUUUUCUGAAGUUGCUUAAAAGUGUUUCAAAGUUUUCCAAAGAGCAUUAUUACUUGGUAUACAUAAAGAUUUGAUUGGAUUG
rnacentral:lncRNA from 1 species